rnacentral:rRNA from 1 species
GACGAACGCUGGCGGCGUGCCUAAUACAUGCAAGUUGAGCGCUGAAGGUUGGUACUUGUACCGACUGGCUGAGCAGCGAACGGGUGAGUAACGCGUGGGGAAUCUGCCUUUGAGCGGGGGACAACAUUUGGAAACGAAUGCUAAUACCGCAUAAAAACUUUAAACACAAGUUUUAAGUUUGAAAGAUGCAAUUGCAUCACUCAAAGAUGAUCCCGCGUUGUAUUAGCUAGUUGGUGAGGUAAAGGCUCACCAAGGCGAUGAUACAUAGCCGACCUGAGAGGGUGAUCGGCCACAUUGGGACUGGGACACGGCCCAAACUCCUACGGGAGGCAGCAGUAGGGAAUCUUCGGCAAUGGACGAAAGUCUGACCGAGCAACGCCGCGUGAGUGAAGAAGGGUUUCGGAUCGUAAAACUCUGUUGGUAGAGAAGAACGUUGGUGAGAGUGGAAAGCUCAUCAAGUGACGGUAACUACCCAGAAAGGGACGGCUAACUACGUG